rnacentral:rRNA from 1 species
GAUGAACGCUGGCUGCGUGCCUAAUACAUGCAAGUCGAGCGAACAGACGAGGAGCUUGCUCCUCUGACGUUAUCGGCGGACGGGUGAGUAACACGUGGAUAACCUACCUAUAAGACUGUGAUAACUUCGGGAAACCGGAGCUAAUACCUGAUAAUAUAUUUAACCGCAUGGUUCAAUAGUGAAAGACGGUUUUGCUGUCACUUAUAGAUGGAUCCGCGCCGCAUUAGCUAGUUGGUAAGGUAACGGCUUACCAAGGCAACGAUGCGUAGCCGACCUGAGAGGGUGAUCGGCCACACUGGAACUGAGACACGGUCCAGACUAAUACGGGAGGCAGCAGUAGGGAAUCGUCCGCAAUGGGCGAAAGCUUGACGGAGCAACGCCGCGUGAGUGAUGAAGGUAUUCGGAUAGUAAAACUCUGUUAUUAGGGAAGAACAAAUGUGUAAGUAACUAUGCACGUCUUGAAGGUACCUAAUCAGAAAGCCACGGCUAACUACGUG